GUCAUGGGUGGAAUCAACUGGGCUGAGAGUUCUAAAUGGAACCCUGGUACACAACUGUUCCAUGUCAGAACCAGUAGAUCUCUCAAAACUUGAAGUGGAUGAGGCAGAAGGUCUCAUGGCAGAAUGGAGGAGUUCCUUGGUACCACGCCUUUUUACCCUGGGCCCAUGUAUUUCUUUGAUUAGUUCAAACCGAAAAUAAGAAAAUGGAAAAAGGAAACACAGGAAGAUCAAUUCUUGUACCCAAAGGAGAAGGAUGAUGUUGAAGUUCUAGUCCAGAACCUUGAACAUCUCAGUCACCAAAUCGAAGAGUCAACAGAACCAAAGGAAGCCCAAGAGAACACAGUAGCUUUACCUGAGAAAGAAGACAAGACCCACACGCUCAUCAUCUCAGAACCUCCAAGUAUUCCCAAAUUUCCUUUGAAUUCGAAAUUCUCCAAGACGUCCUUGUAUAAGACCCUCUUUGAAGAGUACAAACUCAUCGCCUCUGAAAUACUCCAUGAACUCGAGAAGACACUGAAGAGGUAUGCUAAGAAUGGCAUGGCUUUUCCUGGGGGACUCAUCAAUCUCAUGACUUACAGCUGGCUAGAUCUGAUCGAGGAUUCUCACGAGAACGAAUCCCCAAAGAAAACGUUGGAAGGAGACAGGGACUUGGGAGGGGAUCCCAGCUCCAUGUCCAUCAUCAGCUUCAAGGAAUGCAAAGUCCACCCAUGCACCAAGGAGCACCCUCAAGAGGAACAUCAACUUGUUAAAG